rnacentral:rRNA from 1 species
UACGUAGGGCGCGAGCGUUGUCCGGAAUCAUUGGGCGUAAAGAGCUCGUAGGCGGCCUGUCGCGUCUGCUGUGAAAUCCCGGGGCUCAACCCCGGGCGUGCAGUGGAUACGGGCUGGCUGGAGGCAGGCAGGGGAGAACGGAAUUCCCGGUGUAGCGGUGAAAUGCGCAGAUAUCGGGAGGAACACCGGUGGCGAAGGCGGUUCUCUGGGCCUGUACUGACGCUGAGGAGCGAAAGCCAGGGGAGCGAACGGG